UACGUAGGGGGCAAGCGUUGUCCGGAUUUAUUGGGCGUAAAGAGCGUGUAGGCGGUUUGGUAGGUCCGUUGUGAAAACUCGAGGCUCAACCUCGAGACGCCGAUGGAAACCAUCAGACUAGAGUCCGGAAGAGGAGAGUGGAAUUCCUGGUGUAGCGGUGAAAUGCGCAGAUAUCAGGAAGAACACCCGUGGCGAAGGCGGCUCCUCUGGAACGCAACUGACGCUGAGACGCGAAAGCGUGGGGAGCAAACAGG
rnacentral:rRNA from 1 species